rnacentral:rRNA from 1 species
UACGAAGGGGCGAGCGUUGUUCGGAAUUACUGGGCGUAAAGGGCGCGUAGGCGGCCGAUCAAGUCAGAUGUGAAAGUCCUGGGCUUAACCUGGGACUGCAUUUGAUACUGAUUGGCUUGAAUGCAGGAGAGGAUAGCGGAAUUCCCAGUGUAGAGGUGAAAUUCGUAGAUAUUGGGAAGAACACGGUGGCGAAGGCGGCUCACUGGCUCGUAACGUGACGCUCAUGGCACGACAGCGUGGGGAUCAAACAGG